AGAGUUUGAUCCUGGCUCAGAGCGAACGCUGGCGGCGUGCUUAACACAUGCAAGUCGAGUGCGCGUCUGUAGCAAUACAGAUGGCGCACGGCGCACGGGUGCGUAACACGUGGGUAAUCUGCCCUUCGAAGGGGAAUAACUCGCCGAAAGGCGAGCUAAUUCCGCAUAACAUUCCGAGAACCUUGGUUUUCGGAUUCAAAGGCGCAAGUCGUCGGAGGAGGAGCCCGCGCACGAUUAGCUAGUUGGUAGGGUAACGGCCUACCAAGGCUAUGAUCGUUAGCUGGUCUGAGAGGAUGGCCAGCCACACUGGAACUGAGACACGGUCCAGACUCCUACGGGAGGCAGCAGUGGGGAAUCUUGCACAAUGGGCGAAAGCCUGAUGCAGCGACGCCGCGUGGGGGAUGAAGCUUCUCGGAGUGUAAACCCCUUUCGACCCGGACGAAAACCUCGCAAGAGGAUUGACGGUACGGGUAUAAGAAGCCCCGGCUAACUACGUGCCAGCAGCCGCGGUAAGACGUA
rnacentral:rRNA from 1 species